rnacentral:lncRNA from 1 species
AUCAAAUGGUCACCCUCUAGGUACAAGGGAGGCUGGAAGAAUGAACAUUUUUGGCUGGGCACACCACUAAACAAAUCCAGGGUUUUGAUGGAAAGGAAGGGGUGGGGAUGGAUUGCAGGUGACAGCUGGUGGUGCCUACCACAAGCUCCAAUACCAAGAUGGGCACUGAAUUCACAGGGAUCUUUUAAAUUUAGUUUCUGGAUUUGAGUGAAAGCAAAUUGGGUUGCCUCAUCCUUCGAAGGAAAAGUGGAUCCAUAGUAUUCUACUGUCAGAAAGGGAAAUAGAGUCACCUUGAAGACAAGAGGUGAGAGAGUGCUGCAGGUCUGGAGGGCCAAGUGGAUAGAAGCUCAGCAUGACCUCCCUCUCUCUGUCUCCCCUUUGUUCACUUUCAUUAGUCCCGUUCACUUGGGCUGGGAGAGCUGGAUCCGGGGAGCUCAUUAAUAGCCUCUGGGUUUGUGUGUGUCUCCACCCGAAGAAGUCUAACCACAGACUUCCUCUUGACUCUUGGCAACAGGGAGAAAACAAAACCACAGCAGCUUUCAUUGCUGAAAAAGACAAAACUGACUCGUUUGCUUAAUAAGCCCAGACGGAGGAACUUUAUUUCUGGGAGGAAGUGCUGAAGACUCCGGUACAGGCCGGGUGCGGUGGCUCACGCCUGUAAUCCUAGCGCUUUGAGAGGCCAAGGCGGAUGGAUCACGAGGUCAGGAGAUCGAGACCAUCCUGGCUAACACAGUGAAACCCCGUCUCUACUAAAAAUACAAAAACAUUAGCCAGGCAUGGUGGCGGGCGUCUGUAGUCCCAGCUACUCGGGAGGCUGAGGCAGGAGAAUGGCGUGAACCCGGGAGGCGGAGCUUGCAGUGAGCCGAGAUCGGGCCACUGCACUCCAGCCUGGGCGACAGAGCGAGACUCGGUCCCAAAAAAAAAAAAAGACUUCAGUACAAGGAGUCGUGGUUGCGCCGUGAAAUUGCCAGACUCUGCGAUGAGACAUCCUGGGUUGACAGUUUAGAGGUUGAGAGAUUGGUGGGAGGAGGCCACGAGUCCAGGGCUCAGUAGGACUACGGGGCAGAAGCCUGUGCUGCAGAUAGGUGGGACUUUGCAAAAUGGAUCUGCUUGGGGAAACUGAGGCCUCCUCCCACCUCCGACAACAUCCAGACCUCUUUUGCCACUUCUGGUUUCCAAAAAUCCAUUUAUGUAUUUAUUUUCCCUUUUUCUUAUUUUCCCUUAUUAAAUUCAUCUAUUGAUUAAUUCCCAUUUCAUACUUUCUUUUUUUGUUUGCUUGUAUUUCUAAUUUCUUACGAUGUAUAGUCAGUGCUUUUAUUUUGGUCUUUCUUCUUUAAUAAGAAAGCCAUUUCAGGCAAUGUAUUUUCCCGUGUUAAGCUUUUUUCAAGAUCUCAUAGGUUUUGAAAUAAAAUGUUCCCCUUUCCAUCGGUUUCUAGAUGGGUUUUAAUUUCAUUUUAAUGUUUCCUUUGAUCCAUGGGUUACCUAGAAGUACGUUUAUUAAUUUCCAAGUAGUUAAAAAUAUUUUCAGCCACAUUAUUGUUUUCUUUUUAAUUUAACAUUAUGGGG